rfam:Haemonchus placei strain MHpl1 genome assembly, scaffold: HPLM_scaffold0006299
UUAAUGGCAUAUGACUGAAUUGUGGGAGGACUUACAUGAUCCUACCCCUCCUCAUUUUUAUGCUGCUUUGAGG